UACGUAGGGACCAAGCGUUGUUCGGAUUUACUGGGCGUAAAGGGCGCGUAGGCGGCAAUUCAAGUCAGCUGUGAAAUCUCCGAGCUUAACUCGGAACGGUCAGCUGAUACUGUUUUGCUAGAGUACAGAAGGGGCAAUCGGAAUUCUUGGUGUAGCGGUGAAAUGCGUAGAUAUCAAGAGGAACACCUGAGGUGAAGACGGGUUGCUGGGCUGAUACUGACGCUGAGGCGCGAAAGCUAGGGUAGCAAACGGGG
rnacentral:rRNA from 1 species